rnacentral:rRNA from 1 species
GCUUGCUUUCUUUGCUGGCGACCGGCGAACGGGUGAGUAACACGUAUCCAACCUGCCCUUUACUCGGGGAUAGCCUUUCGAAAGAAAGAUCAAUACCCGAUAGCAUAAUGAUUCCGCAUGGUUUCAUUAUUAAAGGAUUCCGGUAAAGGAUGGGGAUGCGUUCCAUUAGGUUGUUUGGUGAGGUAACGGCCCACCAAGCCUUCGAUGGAUAGGGGUUCUGAGAGGAAGGUCCCCCACAUUGGAACUGAGACACGGUCCAAACUCCUACGGGAGGCAGCAGUGAGGAAUAUUGGUCAAUGGGCGUUAGCCUGAACCAGCCAAGUAGCGUGAAGGAUGAAGGCUCUAUGGGUCGUAAACUUCUUUUAUAUAAGAAUAAAGUGCAGUAUGUAUACUGUUUUGUAUGUAUUAUAUGAAUAAGGAUCGGCUAACUCCGUGCCAGCAGCCGCGGUAAUACGGAGGAUCCGAGCGUUAUCCGGAUUUAUUGGGUUUAAAGGGAGCGUAGGUGGACUGGUAAGUCAGUUGUGAAAGUUUGCGGCUCAACCGUAAAAUUGCAGUUGAUACUGUCAGUCUUGAGUACAGUAGAGGUGGGCGGAAUUCGUGGUGUAGCGGUGAAAUGCUUAGAUAUCACGAAGAACUCCGAUUGCGAAGGCAGCUCACUGGACUGCAACU